rnacentral:lncRNA from 1 species
CAAUGUCAAUCUAUACAUAAACUUCCCAAGAUUGGUGCCACAAAUCCACAGACUGUCCAAGAAUACUAUAGAUAAAGGUCUGAAAGAUUUAUUACAAUACUAUUUUGUACGUACGUGAAAGAAACAUAAUAAAAGGGAUAGGAGAAGAUGCCAACGCGUGCAGACGCCUGUAGGACUACCUCGGAAUCUCCGUAUGGACUGAAGGUAACCACCCAAGCUAAGGUACAAAACCUGCUGCGAUGGGAUAUGCACACAAUGCAGACUGUAGUACCAGUACAACUGACCUCAUAUGCUGUUAAGUUCCUAGCCUGACCUCGGCGAAGUAGUGUGGAGACUACGACCAGACUGGCAAAUAAAUGCACUUACAUAAUAUACAACAGAAAAAAGAAGCAGGAAAAUACAAUUAAGGAUGGGAAGGGGAACAUGCUGCGGGGAAACAUCAAUUAAAACUAGAAAGACAUUAAGUAAAUACGAGGAACACCAAAUUUCAAUUAUCAACAAGAAUCAAAAAUCAAACAAGUGCAUGAUAUCACCCUUCGUGCUUUAACACUUUCUUACCAAAAUAAUACACGACAUCACUCUUUGUACCUUAACACUCUUCCUCACCCAAAAAAUAAUCACAAGCAAUAAGGCAAGUAAAUGCAUAAAAUUACAAUAAAAUCCCGGUAAUAGAACAAUAGUUCAACAAUAAAAUCCCGAUAAGGGAAUAAUAUCAAAAGCAUCAAUAUCCCGUCAAGGGAGAUAGCAUUAAAAGCAAUAACAUCUCGCUAAGGGAGACAAUAUAAUAAUUCUCUUUGCUUUUUCACUUUUACUUCACAACUCGCUUCAUAAUUUGAGAAAAUGCUCAAUAAAGUUCAUUUGCCAAUUAUACUUCAACAGUUUAUUUACCACUUGAGCCAACGCUCGUCAAUACUCAAAUACCACAAUAACUUCCACAAACUUUGCUCAACAAACGAAAUCAUCACAAAAAGGGCAUGAGCAAUACAAACAAAGUCAUAAUAAUCAUAAUGUAAGACUCACGGGCAUGCUUGACUCCAACGUAUAGAUACUCGUCAACAUGCCUAUACAUCGUAAUCAACAAAUAAUAUAUAGCAAAUAGGAUAAAACUCCUAAUCCCUCAAGAUAAGGUUAGAACAAAUACUUAGCUCGAUGCCACGAACACAAUUCAAGCCUCAACUACCACUUUACCUCUUGAUUUCACCACCAAUUUGCUCGUAUCUAGCCACAAGUUACUUAAUUAUAUCAAUAAAUGCUAAAUGAAUCAAUUAAAAUGCAUGAAAAUCAAUUUUCUAGAGUUUUUCCUAAAAGUAAAAAAUCGCCCCCGGGCCCACAUGAUAAAAACCCGAGGUUCGAACCAAAAUCCGAUUACCCAUUCCCCCAUGCACCCAAAUAUAUAUAUAUUUUUAAAUUGAACCUCAAAUCGAGGUCCAAAUCCCUAGAAUUUGAAAAACCUAGGUUCUAUACAAAACACCCCAAUUUUCCCCAUGAAAACCUUUGAUUUGAGUUGAAAUCAUGAGAAAAGGUGUUAAGGAUUAAUAAAACGAGUUAGAAAUGACGUACAAUCCAUUUGGAAGAGUUCUUAUCUUUGAAAAAUCGCCCUAGAGUGUUUUUGUUUUGAUAGGGUUUGAAAAGUGAGAGAUUUUCGCCUAAAUUAUAAUUUUUCAAGUUGCAAUUGCGACCAGGGUUCGCAAUUCAGACGUCUACUAUUCUUGCAUUUGCGACAAAAGUUCGCAUUGCAAUCUCAAAAUUGCGAUUAGGUAGUUGCAUUUGCGACAAAGGGAAAUUGUUGGACCACUUCGCAUUUGCGAAGAAAGGAUCACAUUUACAAUCGGCUCUGCCCAGGUCUCUUCUAGCAUUUGCGAGCCAGGCUUCGGUAACAUACCAGCUAAAAACCUGUAACUUCCUAAGUCUAAAUUUCACUUUCUGGCCUAUCCAAAACUCAACCGAGCCCUCGGGGCUCCAAACCAAAUAUGCACACCAACCUAAAAAUAUCAUACGGACUUGAUCAUGCAAUCAAAUCAUGAAAAUAACAUGUAAACCAGGAAUUAAACCUCAAAACUCAUCUUUUUCAUCAAGAACACUUAAAGAUCAUUACUCUUCAACUGGAAGUCCAAAUCACGUCAAAUAAACUCAUUUUAACCAAAUUUCACAGUUAAUCAUUUAAAUGCUAUAACAGAUUUGUACCGGGCUCCAAAAUCAAAAUACGGGCCAGAUACCAAUGGUUUCAAACAUUAAUUCUUUUCUUUAUUACAUAGAUAAUUCAACAAAAUAAUUUCUUUCAAAAAUUGAUUUCUAAGGCUUGGGACCUUGAAAUUUAUUACCGAGCAUAAUUCAAAGUCUCAUAUUUUAAUGCGGACCACCCGGGAUUAUCGAAAUACAGAUCCGGAUCCGUUUUCUCAAUAUAUUGACCUAUGUCAACCAUAAUAAAAUUUUAUCUCUAGAAAUUUCUAUUUCUCAUAUUUUCACAUAAAAGGGUUUUCGGAUAUAGGUCUAGACCAUGCAUGCAAAUCAAGGUGAGGUAAAAAAGAGGUUUUUAGGUCUCGGAAUACUGAAUUUAUUUCUAAAACAAGUGAUGAACUUUUGGGUCGUCACAAUAUGAAUCAUGCCAAAAAGAAAUAAGGGAUAACCUUAACAUACCUGGACUGAUUCUCUUGAUAAUUCCUCUGACACACGUCUAUUGCGCCAACAUGUAACAUCGGAUCGAAGUAGGGGAAAAUUCAUAUAAUAUUUUUGAGAAAGAUUGUACCAUACUCCUUUAGAAUUACAAAUCCCCCAUUACUAUAAUAUUAAAUGGUCUUCGUAUGAAAGGUUUGAAGCAGCCACGUUUUUAUAACAAACCAUUACCCUUACUAAAGCUUUCUUUCU